GCGCGAUGCGAACACAGCGCAGAUCCUGUACCAAGUAACGUGUGUACAACAAGUGGAAAGCCGGAGCGCGCCAACACCCAGAGUGCUCGCGUGCACGACAACUUUUAUUUUAAUGGAUGUCAGUGCCAUUGCUAAGGGAGAAUCUGCAUAAUUUCUAUUUUGUUUUAAUCCUACCAGCAAACCAGUAAUCGGAAUGUUUUCCCGCGUUGCAAGAUCACCUGCAAGCAUCGCUCGAAGCUUUUGCACUUCUUCCCAGAACAAUGCCAAGGUGGCAGUGUUGGAUGCGUCCAGGGGCAUCGGCCAGCCCCUGUCACUGCUCCUGAAGAAGAGUCCCCUGGUCACACAAUAAUAGGACACAAGUAAAUGAUUAGAUUACAAGUGAAAUCGCUCAGUGUAAGGUAUUUUUUUGCUAUGCAAUUGCUAAGCGAUCUAACUCUGUCUCUGUUUCAGGUCUGUACCGCCCGACUUUUCCUGCCUCAUCUUCCCGCGCCUCCAGAACCUUCCCACUCCCGUCCGACCUAACCCCGUUCCUCCCUCGUGGGUCUAACUCCUGUCUUCCGUCUGUUUAAGGAUUGACCUUUUGGCUUCCUGACCUGCCUGCUCCCGGCUCAUCGACAACUCAUUUGGAUCACGAUCAUUGUUUUGGCACUUGGUACCGACUGAUCUCUGGCUUUGACCCUGCCUGUUCGUUGGACCACGAAUUGGCUUUCGUUAAUAAAUGGAUUUUGGUGAAGUACCCUGAGUGUCCUGAUGUGUGAGAUCCGAGGCAGACAAUGAGGGAGAUGCUGCUGAAACUGGGUACCAGAUGUGGGAGUUCUGUCCUCUUUGAGAUCCCAGAGACCAGCAUCAAGGCAUUCAAGAAGCAAGAUGAUCGACCUUCAUGUGAACAGUUGGGUGAAGGGCAGCCCCACAGAAAGUCCUUCCUAUACAGGUCUUUUGCUGGCUUUUCUCUGAGCUGGGAUAUAAGUAUUCUCGGAUCGAUGGGAAGGACAGUACAUGUUUGUCACAGAUCCUGCUCUUUUCUAUCAAUCUGGGGACACUUUACAUCAUUUUGGGUUGUUGAGGCUAUUUUUCUUCUUUAAUAUGUAUGUUUGUUUCAUUUUGGUGAAAUUGUGAGGGGCUUUAUUAGCGCAAGUUUUUAAAUUCCUAUGGGAUUUAGUGAUAACUAGAAUAUCAUA